UCAAGUUAAUAAGAGCACUAGGCGGAUGCCUAGGCACCAAGAGGCGAAGAAGGACGUGACAAGCUGCGAAAAGCUACGGUAAGGCGCAAGUAACCAAUAACCCGUAGAUCUCCGAAUGGGGCAACCCACCGCAUAAGCGGAAUCCUUACAUGAAUAAAUAGUGUAAGAGAAGCGAACCCAGCGAACUGAAACAUCUAAGUAGCUGGAGGAAAAGAAAGAAACAUCGAUAUCCUAAGUAGCGGCGAGCGAACGGGAUAGAGCCCAACCGUGCAAAAAGCAAAAAUAGUUAGUCGAAGGACCUGGGAAGGUCCACCAAAGAAGGUAACAGUCCCGUAGACGAAAACGACGAUAGCAGGCACAAAAGAGUACCACGAGGCACGAGAAACCUAGUGGGAACACAGGGGGACCACCCCCUAAGGCUAAAUACUACUUGGUGACCGAUAGCGAACAAGUACCGUGAGGGAAAGGUGAAAAGAACCCCGGGAGGGGAGUGAAAUAGAAUCUGAAACCUAGUGUUUACAAGCAGCGAAACUGGUGUUAACCAGGAUCGUGUACUUUUUGUAGAACGGGCCAGCGAGUUAUGAUAAAAAGCAAGGUUAAGAAAUUAAGUUUCGAAGCCGUAGAGAAAUCGAGUCUUAAUAGGGCGUAAGUUAUUUGUCAUAGACCCGAAACCGUGUGAUCUAUCCUUGGGCAGGGUGAAGUUAAAGUAAAAUUUAAUGGAGGCCCGAACCGGGUAGCGUUUAAAAGCUAUCGGAUGACCUGAGGAUAGGGGUGAAAAGCCAAACGAACACGGAGAUAGCUGGUUCUCCUCGAAAUAGCUUUAGGGCUAGCCUUUAGUUAAAGUGACGCGGGGGUAGAGCACUGAAUAGUCAAGGGGCGUUAUACGUUACCGAGACCUAUCAAACUCCGAAUACCGAAUCACAAACUAAGGAGUCAGACUAUGUGGGAUGAGCUUCAUAGUCGAAAGGGAAAGAGCCCAGACCACCAGCUAAGGUCCCAAAAUACUGAUUAAGUGGAAAAGGAUGUGGAGUUACUGAGACAACUAGGAUGUUGGCUUAGAAGCAGCCAUGCAUUAGAGGAGCAAUGUAUGCAGGACGAAGCAGAAGCCGUAAGGUACUGUGGACAACAUACAAGAGAGAAUGCUGGCAUGAGUAGCGAGAGGUGAGUGAGAAUCUCACCCGUCGAAAACCCAAGGAUUCCUGAGGAAGGCUCGUCCACUCAGGGUAAGUCGGGACCUAAGGCGAGGCCGAAAGGCGUAGUCGAUGGACAACAGGUUGAAAUUCCUGUACCGAUAUCAAGCGACAGAAAGUAAGUGGGGACGCAGUAGGAUAAGCGUAGCGCCCAGUUGGUGAGGCGUACAAGCACAAAGUCUGGGAAGUAGGCAAAUCCGCUUUCCAUAAGGAUGAAGUGUGAUGUGGAUCGAAAAUAAGUAGAGAAGGAGCCGACUCCACACUGCCAAGAAAAGCCACUAUCAAGUAAGAUAUCGCCCGUACCGUAAACCGACACAGGUAGGAGAGGAGAGAAUCCUAAGACGCGCGGAAGAACCUUUGUUAAGGAACUCGGCAAAAUGACCCCGUAAGUUAGCGAGAAGGGGAGCCUAACCAGAAAUGGAAGGCCGCAGUGAAAAGGCCCAAGCGACUGUUUACCAAAAACACAAGUCUCUGCAAAGUCGAAAGACGAAGUAUAGGGGCUGACACCUGCCCGGUGCUGGAAGGUUAAGGGAAAGAGUUAGCUUAAGGCGAAGCUCAGAACUGAAGCCCCAGUAAACGGCGGCCGUAACUAUAACGGUCCUAAGGUAGCGAAAUUCCUUGUCGGGUAAGUUCCGACCCGCACGAAAGGUGUAACG
rnacentral:rRNA from 1 species